GUGGUGUCUUUAAUUAAAGUAUAAGUAACAAAUCUUAGUGUAACUCAAGUAGAGUAUUAUAUAAUUAUUCCAAUGUUUACUACACAUUUCACUUAUUAAUGGUUUAUUGUUAUCUUUAUCGAACACACGAUGGUAUAAUGUUACAAGAUUUCUACAGUUACGAAAAAAAGUUAAUGUUUUCUCUCCAUUCUUUUUUUCUGUUU
rnacentral:lncRNA from 1 species